UACGGGGGGGUAAGCGUUGUUCGGAAUUACUGGGCGUAAAGGGCUCGUAGGCGGCCAACUAAGUCAGACGUGAAAUCCCUCAGCUUAACUGGGGAACUGCGUCUGAUACUGGAUGGCUUGGAUUCGGGAGAGGAAUGCGGAAUUCCAGGUGUAGCGGUGAAAUGCGUAGAUAUCUGGAGGAACACCGGUGGCGAAGGCGGCAUUCUGGACCGAUAUUGACGCUGAGGAGCGAAAGCCAGGGGAGCAAAGCGGG
rnacentral:rRNA from 1 species